UACGAAGGGGGCUAGCGUUGCUCGGAAUUACUGGGCGUAAAGGGCGCGUAGGCGGCGCGGUAAGUCGGGCGUGAAAUCUCGGGGCUUAACUCCGAAACUGCAUUCGAUACUGCCGUGCUUGAGGACUGGAGAGGAGAGUGGAAUUUACGGUGUAGCGGUGAAAUGCGUAGAUAUCGGAAGGAAGACCAGUGGCGAAGGCGGGUCUCUGGACAGUUACUGACGCUGAGGCACGAAGGCCAGGGGAGCAAACGGG
rnacentral:rRNA from 1 species